UACGGAGGGUGCGAGCGUUAAUCGGAAUCACUGGGCGUAAAGGGCACGCAGGCGGGCUUUUAAGUGAGAUGUGAAAUCCCCGUGCUUAACCUGGGAAUAGCAUUUGAGACUGGGAGUCUUGAGUAGUGUAGGGAGGGGUAGAAUUCCACGUGUAGCGGUGAAAUGCGUAGAGAUGUGGAGGAAUACCGAAGGCGAAGGCAGCCCCUUGGGCAUGUACUGACGCUCAGGUGCGAAAGCGUGGGGAGCAAACAGG
rnacentral:rRNA from 1 species